rnacentral:rRNA from 1 species
GACGGGGCCCGCACAGGCGGAGGAGCAUGUGGUUUAAUUCGAUGAUACGCGAGGAACCUUACCUGGGCUCGAACGUAAGAUGACUGUAGGUGAAAGCUUACAUCUCUUCGGAGCAUUUUACGAGGUGCUGCAUGGUUGUCGUCAGCUCGUGCCGUGAGGUGUCGGGUUAAGUCCCAUAACGAGCGCAACCCUACCUUUAGUUGCCAUCAGGUAAUGCUGGGGACUCUAAAGGAACUGCCUACGCAAGUAGUGAGGAAGGCGGGGAUGACGUCAAAUCAGCACGGCCCUUACGUCCAGGGCUACACACGUGCUACAAUGGCCGAUACAGAGGGCAGCUACCUGGUGACAGGAUGCAAAUCUCCAAAGUCGGUCUCAGUUCGGAUCGGAGUCUGCAACCCGACUCCGUGAAGUUGGAUUCGCUAGUAAUCGCGCAUCAGCCAUGGCGCGGUGAAUACGUUCCCGGGCCUU